GUCCCUCCGCCGCCCACAGCUGAAGCGCUGAAUGGUUCGCUGCAAGACCACUCCGAUCAUUCCUCUCAGCAGUCUUUAGGUUCAGUCCAGAAGAACCCAUGGUCGAGGGACAGUAGCAGCUCUCCGUCUCAUAUCGAGGAAGACCACGUCUACAGCUUUCCAAACAAA